ACGCUUCGGUAGCACAUAUACUAGAAUUGGAAUUAUACAGAGAAGAUUAGCAUGGCAUGGAUGACAUGCAAAUUCAUGAAGCGUUCCAUAUUUUU
rnacentral:snRNA from 1 species